CCUACGGGAGGCAGCAGUGGGGAAUAUUGGGCAAUGGGCGCAAGCCUGACCCAGCAACGCCGCGUGAAGGAAGAAGGCCCUCGGGUUGUAAACUUCUUUUUACAGGGACGAAACAAAUGCCGGUCCUUGAUGAAUAAGCCACGGCUAACUACGUGCAAGCAGCCGCGGUAAUACGUCGGUGGCAAGCGUUAUCCGGAUUUACUGGGUGUAAAGGUCGUUUAGGCGGAACGGCAAGUCAGAUGUGAAAUCCAGGGGCUCAACCCAUUGACUGCAUUUGCAACUGGUGUUCUUGAGAGUUGGAGAGGCAGGCGGAAUUCCGGGUGUAGCGGUGAAAUGCGUAGAUAUACGGAGGAACACCAGUGGCGAAGGCGG
rnacentral:rRNA from 1 species